rnacentral:rRNA from 1 species
UCUGGCUGUCUUCGAUAGUCCGAGUUGUAAUCUAUAGACGUUGUUCUUCCGUGCUGGACCGUAUCUAAGUCCCUUGGAACAGGGUAUCAAAGAGGGUGACAAUCCCGUGCUUGAUACGACCACCAGUGCUCUGUGAUACACGCUCUACGAGUCGAGUUGUUUGGGAAUGCAGCUCAAAAUGGGUGGUAAAUUCCAUCUAAAGCUAAAUAUUGGCGAGAGACCGAUAGCGAACAAGUACCGUGAGGGAAAGAUGAAAAGCACUUUGGAAAGAGAGUUAAACAGUACGUGAAAUUGUUGAAAGGGAAACGAUUGAAGUCAGUCGUGUUCUUUGGAUUCAGCUAGUUCUUCUAGUCUACUUCCAUUGAACGGGUCAACAUCAGUUUUGUCCGGU